rnacentral:rRNA from 1 species
CGAGCGGAUGAGAAGAGCUUGCUCUUCGAUUCAGCGGCGGACGGGUGAGUAAUACCUAGGAAUCUGCCUGGUAGUGGGGGACAACGUUUCGAAAGGAACGCUAAUACCGCAUACGCCCUACGGGGGAAAGCAGGGGACCUUCGGGCCUUGCGCUAUCAGAUGAGCCUAGGUCGGAUUAGCUAGUUGGUGAGGUAAUGGCUCACCAAGGCGACGAUCCGUAACUGGUCUGAGAGGAUGAUCAGUCACACUGGAACUGAGACACGGUCCAGACUCCUACGGGAGGCAGCAGUGGGGAAUAUUGGACAAUGGGCGAAAGCCUGAUCCAGCCAUGCCGCGUGUGUGAAGAAGGUCUUCGGAUUGUAAAGCACUUUAAGUUGGGAGGAAGGGUACUUACCUAAUACGUGAGUAUUUUGACGUUACCGACAGAAUAAGCACCGGCUAACUCUGUGCCAGCAGCCGCGGUAAUACAGAGGGUGCAAGCGUUAAUCGGAAUUACUGGGCGUAAAGCGCGCGUAGGUGGUUCGUUAAGUUGGAUGUGAAAUCCCCGGGCUCAACCUGGGAACUGCAUCCAAAACUGGCGAGCUAGAGUA